AAAGUUUGCCUUGACUCGUACAUCGCUGAAACUGCUGCCCCCAUGAGAAGAAAGCAGGGUUCCCUCCUCCGCCGCGGUGCCCCAAUCCCUCCUGCUCCGCGGUGCCCUUACUCGCCUGCUGCCCCCACUGCGGUCGUCGAAUCCGGGCGAGAUCGAGAGGAUACGCCGCAUCUCGCGGGACACCCAGCCGCUGUACUCCACCUCUCGCUGGCCUCCUUCCGGUUCCCUUCGUCACCGACGGCGAGCCCUGCUGAUGACGAGUUGUUCCCCAACCGAAGAAACGGAUCAAGGCCAUGGGAUCCAGCCAACGACCGUCCCCUGGAUGCAUCACCUUGCCAAACGCUUGGUGGGGGCAGCAUGGACGAGCUGCUCGUCGACCAUGCGGGGAGCACGGACGAGCUGCUCGUCGGCGUCCAUCCCGCGCGCCCAGUCCCUGCCGACGAUGGCUACCCAGCCCCCUCGACGGCGUGUGUUUCCUGCUCGCCGCCUGCUGUCUCCCCUGGUCACCAUCCCCUGGAUCCCACUACCCCCUCCAUUAUAUUCCUAUUUUGAGGCAAGCAAGGUUGCGAACGUCGACAACGAGUAGGAGGCAAGUGUAUUACGGUGAGCAGUGAGACAUGGGCAUGAAGCAGGUGUGCAAGGCCACUUGCUGCUGCACUAAUUGCCUUGACGGAGCACUGGCCGCCGGCUCCCCGGUGCCCACCGCCCGCCGGUGGACUCCCUGGUUGUGCACAAUGGAGAUGAACCUGCGUCGGCACCCUGCAGCCUGGAUAGAGCUUUGCCAGUGGUGGUGAUGAAUCUGUUGUCUGUGCUGGUGAUGUCGCUCUCUAGCAUCAACUUUCUCCACCGGCUAUUAGAGAGUAGAGGUCAUAUAAUGGAUUUGUUUUUCUUCAGAGAUGUGCUCCCGUCGUUGUUGGCUGUUGAAUUUGUAAUGCAUUCUGUCCCUUAGUCUGUCUUCACCACUUCGUCCUCCCGCACAAUCGACAGAACAGAGCAACUGUCGCGAUUUGUCCAUUCAUCUCUUCGAGUGAUUCAAACCUAGGAAGCCUGCUACUUGUGCAAGCAACAUGGUAAGAAGUUUCAGUUUUCUCACUAAUGCACCUCAAUUGGUAAGUAUAGAAGAAUGUCAGUUUGCUUUAUGUUGGUUUUCUAAUUUCUACAUAUUCCUUUCUUAUAGACUCUGCCUUCAAGGAAAUCUAAUUAUCUAGGUAUAUGGAAAGGCGGUAAAUUCUGUUACUAUAUAUUUGUGUGUACUCAAGCUCUGCUAUGCAGAUUGAGGAGAAAGAGUUAUUUUAUUGUGAUGAUGAUUAAUUUUUUUCAUCCUGUGAUCUCCUUUGCUUCAGUUGUGCUAAUAUUUUUUUGCACAUCAGUAGGACUAAAAUAUUCCAGAUACCAGAAGGAUUUUUAGUUCUGUCUGAGCAUCUUGAUUUUGGAAAAUGUGGUGUACUAAUGGCUCAUGAGGAUAAUUUCCACUGAGUACUCUAGGUCAGCCUACAUAUGUUCUUCUAAGCACAAUUGUUUGCAUCUGCCUAAUCUGCAUACAAAAAUGUGCAUCUGCCUGGAAGUUUAACUCUUACAUUUUUGGGCCCAAGUAGUCAAAAUAGUACAUUAGUGUAGACAAAGAAGAGUUCAGCUUCCAGUACGCCAUUAUACCUUUCCUAACUACCUCUCUCUGGUUGGUUGAAGGUGUGGAGUUUAGCCAUGUUCUGCUGUAAGGAAAGCCAUGACCUCCACACAGAUGAUGCAAGCGGAAACAAGCUAGACUCACAACUUUGGUUUUGAGGCAUUUUCACCCACAAAUAUUACCCUGGUACUAACAGGUUGUUAGUAUUAUAUCAGUAUACUUGUUCAGCCUUUCGAUGUGCUGGUCCGAAUAUUUAAACAAGGAAGCAGGCUCAGUUGCUCACCAACCUACUAUUGCUGCCAACAAGUAGCCAGAAACCCAUAGAAGAUAUCUGCAUUGAUCACAGAAAAAUGAAGUAUUGAAUUUGUAGGACAUUUUCAACAUUGUCAUCCUAAUCUGGUUCCCACAUAUUCAAGAUGUGGAGAUUAUCUCUUUGCUCCAACAAAGCCAUGGCCUUCAAUUUUGUUGUUAAUUUAACAAUUGUUUUGGUUGUGCCGAUCGAUCGGCCUAUAAGAGCCAAUUUGGUUUCA